CCUGCACGCUGUUCAGUCUUACACAGACACUGUCUGUGCAUCUCCAGCUCAAGUCAUUUCACCUGCACGCUGUUUAGUCUCUCACAUACGCUGUCUGUGCUUCAACAUAACAUCAUACUUGGCUGCACGCUCUCUGGUCUAACCGCAAGUACUUUGUAUAAACUGCCUUGUCAAACCUUUCACAUAUUACCUAGUAUCAUCCAAUAUUAUACUGAUCAACAUAUACCUCGCAAUCCAAUCUGUUUAAUCCUUACUACCUUAUAUCGUUUCUGUGCUACCAAAGAUAAUUCAUCUGAUUAUCACUUGAUAAUUAACUAUAACAUUACAGUAACCUUGCUUCUCAAACUAAAGGUAACUAACUCUGACUUGACAUUGUCAGAGUGUAGUUUUCAAAGUGAAACUUUGUUUCUUUCCAUUCAGUAUCACUGCUACAUUUCAGGCACUUGCUCAUUAACCAAAUCAAUAGUGAGCAGAGUACACCUGUAUCCAGUAGCUACAAGCUCACAUCUAUUCAAUCACUAAAUAGUAUAAGUCUAAGAAAUAUGUUGAAUCAUGACACAGGCCCAGAAUGCCUACUUCCCAAGUAGUUACACCAACCACCACAAUCUUAUUUCCGUUUGUUCAAAGACAGACAUUGACAUAUAGCUUCACAUGAGGUUGUGUCCAAACCCAGCUGCAAGUGAAAAGCAUUCAGACGGUCCCUGGUACAGAAUCAGAGAUCAGUCCCCAGGACUGCAUUCCAUACUAGAGCUGCUCCAGUGAUUCCCCCGGUGGUCGGAAGCCUCUUCAUACGUCAGAAAUGAUGAAUCCAGUUUCUUCCAAUCACGGCUUUCCGUGAUUAGCAGAAAUCUAGUGAACAUUACAGGAAGAACUGAUGUGAAGAUGAGAUUUCUAGAUAAGAUGAAACUAGGAAAUGAAAUAUGUGCCAGUAUAUCAAAUACGCUGAUAUACAGAAUAAGUCAGACAUAUAUAUUUCAUUGAUUGAUACUACUAGUCCCUCAUAAAAAUACAACUUUUAAGACAUCUUCUAGAAUAUGAUAAAUAAAAUACUGAUGUUUCAUAUUAAAAUAAUCAGAAAAAAUGGUGCUAUAUGGUCCCAUCUAUAUUAAAAUUGUAAGUGAUUUAUUUGUGCAACAUUGUAUACCUCUAAAUGAACAUCAAUAAAAAAAAUAAAAAAAUUUUUUUUAAGUGA